rnacentral:piRNA from 1 species
UACCGAGUGUGCUGCCUGGAUCAGGUCCCAA